rnacentral:lncRNA from 1 species
CUGCGCCAGGACAGACCGAUGGUGUUGCACGGACGUAUUUCUAUUCAACGCCACACUUCGCUAAGAACAUUCAGAGAUAUUCUUCCUAACAAAAGAAAAACGGACAAAAAUACAGAAUCCUCUGAGCCAAAGGAGAUGGGCCUGGAAUAAAUUCAGUUGCAAACAACCGCCUCAACCCCAGCUCAGAGAGACAAAGAGUAUGGACAGAGAAAGAGUUUAUCUACUGCAUACCUUCAAGCACCCCAACAGAAAGAACAUCCCUAGAUAUCCAAACGGUGGUGUGAAGGACAGCAUGGGCACAGCAGGGCAAGCAGCACUCAUUUCAAGGUGACUUUAAGAAGAUGUGUUUCUGGGGCACCCGAGUGUCUCAGUCUGUUAAGUGACGGCCUUCGGCUCAAGUCAUGAUCUUAGGGUUUUGGGAUCAAGUCCUGUGCAGGGCUUCUUGCUUAAUCAGGAGCCUGCUUCUCUCUCUGCCUGCUGCCCCUCCCCCCACUUGUGCAUUCUCUCUCUUUGACAAAUAAAUAAAUAAAAUCUUAAAAAAAAAAAAAAAAGAUGUGUUUCAUCUACGUUGCUGUUUACGGCAGAUUGAUUUCCAAAACAUUUUAUUUCACAUAUUUUU